rnacentral:rRNA from 1 species
UACGUAGGGCGCAAGCGUUGUCCGGAAUUAUUGGGCGUAAAGAGCUCGUAGGCGGUCUGUCGCGUCGGAUGUGAAAGCCCGGGGCUUAACCCCGGGUCUGCAUUCGAUACGGGCAGACUAGAGUGUGGUAGGGGAGAUCGGAAUUCCUGGUGUAGUGGUGAAAUGCGCAGAUAUCAGGAGGAACACCGGUGGCGAAGGCGGAUCUCUGGGCCAUUACUGACGCUGAGGAGCGAAAGCGUGGGUAGCGAACAGG